rnacentral:rRNA from 1 species
AGUAGUUUGACUCCUGGCUCAGAACGAACGCUGGCGGCAUGCCUAACACAUGCAAGUCGAACGGGAUCCUAGCUUGCUAGGUGAGAGUGGCGGACGGGUGAGUAACACGUGGGAAUCUGCCUUUUGGUUCGGGAUAACUUUGGGAAACUAAAGCUAAUACCGCAUACGCCCGAGAGGGGAAAGAUUUAUCGCUGAUUGAUUAGCCCGCGUGAGAUUAGGUAGUUGGUGGGGUAAUGGCCUACCAAGCCUACGAUCUCUAGCUGGUCUGAGAGGAUGAUCAGCCACACUGGAACUGAGACACGGUCCAGACUCCUACGGGAGGCAGCAGUGGGGAAUAUUGGGCAAUGGAGGAAACUCUGACCCAGCCAUGCCGCGUGAAUGAUGAAGGCCUUAGGGUUGUAAAGUUCUUUCGCCGAUGAAGAUAAUGACGGUAGUCGGAGAAGAAGCCCCGGCUAACUUCGUG